UCUGUCCACUGUUAAUUUAGUGAAUAUCUGGUAUUUGUUUAGGUUGCUCUUGGUCAUCAAAGUAUUCAUUCCUAUGGGUUAUUUUUAAGAAUGACUUGAUGCAAGCUACAAAUAAAAUUUGAGGGGGUGAUGAUCAAUCAGUAAGAACUAGGGAAGAUGAUUUUGCUGGUUACGAAAGUUUUUUGAGGCCUCAAUGUUCUAGAUUUAUAGGUCAGCCCAUUCAAAACCUAUGCUAAACCCUGGAGGCUGAACUCUAAAGUCGAUGAAAGCCAAGUAUGUCAACAAAUACCUCUGCUACGAGUGCAACUCGAAUAUAGAAACUCUCAUCCUUGCUUCUACUGGUUGGAUUCUGAAAAUGGAAAAGAAAUGCUUCUUAAGUGCAAGAAAUGUAUACACUAAUGUAUUUUUGGUCAAAACAGCAAUAAGGUUAUUUAGAAUAAAGUGACCAAAAAAAAAUAAAAAAAAUUGGAGAAAUAUCUCCAAAAUCAAUUGUAGUAAUCUUUUAUUUUGGUAAUUUGGAUUCUAUACCGUAGGAGUUGAGCAAACAAUGUGGUCAAGGAUGCUUUCCAAUGCUUAUAGAUGAACUAAUUGAAUUGACAUUAUACUUCA